ensembl:lncRNA
UGGAUGUCUCUGUAUGCCUGAGGCCUUCUGAUGGUCGUUCUGUCUGUCUCCGGGCAGAGGAAUGGCAUUCUUUUCUCUGCUGUACGACAGACCAUAAAUCCUGAGGCUCUGCAUCCCCUCUCUCUUCCAAAGAAAGCACCAGAAAUAUGGAGGAAAUGGAGCCCCAUCUCAUCGUGCCCUGCUCACCCCAACCUGCUCCAUCCUCACUGCUCUCCUGCUCCCCUUGCGCAAGGGCUGGAGCUUAAAUGCAGCUCCAGGAGGUGCAGAGGGGGAAAUGCUGCUCAUUGCUGUGGUUUUUCACAGCUCUGCCAACCAAUGGAGCAGCAAUCAGAUCCAGCUGUGACCCAAAGACAUUGCAUGGGUUGGUGCCAUCCUGACCACAACCAUGGGGGAUGCCCAAAGUCUGCAGAUCAAGGAGGGGGGGAAACGCAUCGCCUCCACUUUGCAGAGCUCUGAAAAACUUUGGCAUGGGAAUAUGGAACGUUGAGGCACUUGUC